UACUUAGAAGAGAUUAUUUUAGGAAAACAGAACUUACAAGAAAGGAGAGAAGGCAGAGUGUACCCUAUGUUGAUUUCCUAUUUGAGACUAAAUGCUCACUCUAUGUCAUUUAAUGUAAGGCUUACAAUAAUCCUAGGUGGUAUGUGCUUCUUGCCUCCAUUUUACAGAUGAAGAAACUGAAUCUUGGAAGAAUUGUGCCAGUUUGAGGCCAACACUAGGAAGUGUCUGGAACCAGAUCUGGAGGCUUCACAAUCUGUAAUAUGUUGCCUCCAAAGAUGAGAAAAUGCAGGUUUGGAGAAAUUUAGUAAGAUGCCCAGGUUCAUACAGGACAUCCUGACUGUGGUGAUGCAGCUAAAAGGUGAGACAACCAGACCCCCAACUCAAAACCAUCUGCCUCUAGAAUCCUGUUGCUAAUGAUCGAAACCACUCAGUGAUUCUGCCUCAUAACAAGCCAGAGGAGUUGCUUACCUCACUGCUUCCUCAUUUGGAAGAUGAGAGGUUUGAACUGUAAUGAAGCCAUCCCAAUUCUAAAUCGAGGAUUCAAUGAGUGAAAACGCAAUCUGUUAUAUCUGUUCUAAAUGUAUCAGGAGAUCAUUUGCAAGGUCUUAUUUUACGGAUAACACUUUCCUCUUUUCUAAGUCUUCAGUCCGUAAUAAAAUGGCAUAUGUAUUCUCCAGUCAUUAAGCUCCAUUUUUUGUGUGUGUUAUUAAAUAUGAAGUCAGGCCUUGUAAAUGGGAGUCUCAGAUCAUUGUUCUGUGUUCGGUACCCAAAUAAAUUAAAGCUGCACCCAUAAAAAUCAUUUUAAUGUAAUUUUUUGAAUAAUUGAAAAGUCUCAAAUACUAUUUUGAACAAUUUGUUUUCAAAGAACUUACAAGUAUAGGUAUAAUUUGGAAACAAUUUCCAAUUGUUUGGGCUUUAUAAUGAUACCUCUUGUGUGACCAGCACUCUUCAGUUUAUGAAGCGCUGAAUGACUCAUUAAGGGUUGUAGAUGGGGUAACAUUUGAGUGUCCACUUGAAUAUAAUGACUUACAAGAAAAGUAAGCCAGAGAGCCGUUCCAGUAAGAAUGAAC